CAAACCAAAGCUGGCGACCGGCGCACGGGUGAGUAACACGUAUCCAACCUGCCUCAUACUCGGGGAUAGCCUUUCGAAAGAAAGAUUAAUAUCCGAUAGCAUAUAUUUCCCGCAUGGGUUUUAUAUUAAAGAAAUUCGGUAUGAGAUGGGGAUGCGUUCCAUUAGUUUGUUGGGGGGUAACGGCCCACCAAGACUACGAUGGAUAGGGGUUCUGAGAGGAAGGUCCCCCACAUUGGAACUGAGACACGGUCCAAACUCCUACGGGAGGCAGCAUG
rnacentral:rRNA from 1 species